rnacentral:rRNA from 1 species
GACGAACGCUGGCGGCGUGCUUAACACAUGCAAGUCGAACGGUGACGACGGGGCUUGCCCUGUCUGAUCAGUGGCGAACGGGUGAGUAACACGUGAGUAACCUGCCCUUGACUCUGGGAUAACCGCGGGAAACGGCGGCUAAUACCGGAUAUGAGACGUACAGGCAUCUGUUGCGUCUGGAAAGAUUUAUCGGUCAAGGAUGGGCUCGCGGCCUAUCAGCUUGUUGGUGGGGUGAAGGCCUACCAAGGCGA